GACAUGGUGGCUGAGUGGUAAAGCAUUUGGUUUUGAAACUGAGGGUUCCCAGGUUCAAAUCCUGGUGAAGACU
rnacentral:tRNA from 1 species